rnacentral:lncRNA from 1 species
CCCCGCUAUGACUCUAGCAUGUGCAAUGCACGUGCUGACUUAUUUCUUUUUUUUUUUUGAUUUCUUUUGCUGCUUCAAGAUUUAUGCAAGGGCUUUGGGGUAUCACAUAGCCACUUAAGCCUAAAAGAAAUCUUAGGAUGAGAAAGCGACAACUCACAAUUAGGGAAUAGGAACCAGAACCAAAAGCUAAUCCUAUGGUAG